GACGGGUGAGUUACACGUGAGAAUCUACCCUAAAGUGAAGGAUACCCUCAGGAAACUGAGGUUAAUACUGCAUACGUCCCUUCGGGGAGAAAGGUGCUUUUGUGCCGCUUAAGGAUGAGCUCGCGGGCUAUUAGCUUGUUGGUGGGGUAAAGGCCUACCAAGGCUUUGAUGGCUAGCCGGCCUGAGAGGGUGAACGGCCACACUGGAACUGAGACACGGUCCAGACUCC
rnacentral:rRNA from 1 species